CAAGGAUUCCCUAGUAACUGCGAGUGAAGCGGGAAAAGCUCAAAUUUAAAAUCUGAUAGUCCGCUGUCCGAGUUGUAAUUUAGAGAAGUGUUAUCCGCGCUGGACCGUGUAUAAGUCUCCUGGAACGGAGCGUCGUAGAGGGUGAGAAUCCCGUAUAUGACACGGACUACCAGGGCUUUGUGAUGCGCUCUCAAAGAGUCGAGUUGUUUGGGAAUGCAGCUCAAAAUGGGUGGUAAAUUCCAUCUAAAGCUAAAUAUAGGCGAGAGACCGAUAGCGAACAAGUACCGUGAGGGAAAGAUGAAAAGAACUUUGGAAAGAGAGUUAAACAGUACGUGAAAUUGUUGAAAAGGAAACGCUUGAAGUCAGUCGCGUUGGCCGGGGAUCAACUUAGUUUUGCUGAGAGCACUUUCCGGUUAACGGGUCAGCAUCAAUUUUGAUUGUUGGAUAAGGUCAGUGGAAUGUGGCAUCUUCGGAUGUGUUAUAGCCAUUGUUCGCAUACAACAGUUGGGAUUGAGGAACUCAGCACCGUGCUUAGGAUGCUGGCAUAAUGGCUUUAAUCGACCGGUCUUGAAACACGG
rnacentral:rRNA from 1 species